rnacentral:lncRNA from 1 species
CUCUUUCCAUCCUUUGUCUUCUUUGAUCCUAUCUAUUUUGUAUUAAUCAUUUAGACUUCAGUUGGGUUUUUUUUGGGGGGGGGGUUGUUUUUGUUUUUUUUUGCUUUUUGCUUUUUGCUUUGUGCUUAUACUGAAUUAGAUCCUGAACUAUUAGCCAAAACCUCCUUUUUCUUCUACAGCCAUAUAUUUGAAGUCUGGAGCCAGUCAUUGAUGUCAUAAUCCAGUCUGUGGGUUCGUACCAUAUACCUCUUCCCUCUGGCCUCAUUUUCUGCUGGCUCCGGCUUAUCUUCAAUCAGCCAAGAGCCAAGCUUGUCCUUGUCCUUCUCUCCCCUGUCAACAGUGGGUUUUAUACUGAUGUGGAUUGCUACAUUCUACUCCUGCACUUGACCUUGGUCCCCAGAACCUCCACCUGGCUCAGAGCAUGGGAUCAGCCACUUGCCAAGCAUGGUUGUUCAGACUCUACCCCUCUGUGAGAUCAAGUUAUCAACAUAUGCUCUCAGGACCACUGUAUAAUUGUAUAGAAAAACAACACAAUAGAAAGCAGCGAGCAAUUCCAAAUCCUAGAAGUUUCCAACCAGAUGUUUAUUUGGAAAAAGAAACUAUCUGUAUUUACAUUAAGUGAACAGAAAGAGAUGCAU